rnacentral:rRNA from 1 species
AGGGCUCGCAGGCGGUUUUUUAAGUCUGAAUGUGAAAAGCCCCCGGCUUAACCGGGGAGGGUCAUUGGAAACUGGGGAACUUGAGUGCAGAAGAGGAGAGUGGAAUUUCCACGUGUAGCGGUGAAAUGCGUAGAGAUGUGGAGGAACACCAGUGGCGAAGGCGACUCUCUGGUCUGUAACUGACGCUGAGGAGCGAAAGCGUGGGGAGCGAACAGGAUUAGAUACCCUGGUAGUCCACGCCGUAAACGAUGAGUGCUAAGUGUUAGGGGGUUUCCGCCCCUUAGUGCUGCAGCUAACGCAUUAAGCACUCCGCCUGGGGAGUACGGUCGCAAGACUGAAACUCAAAGGAAUUGACGGGGGCCCGCACAAGCGGUGGAGCAUGUGGUUUAAUUCGAAGCAACGCGAAGAACCUUACCAGGUCUUGACAUCCUCUGACACUCCUAGAGAUAGGACGUCCCCUUCGGGGGCAGAGUGACAGGUGGUGCAUGGUUGUCGUCAGCUCGUGUCGUGAGAUGUUGGGUUAAGUCCCGCAACGAGCGCAACCCUUGAUCUUAGUUGCCAGCAUUCAGUUGGGCACUCUAAGGUGACUGCCGGUGACAAACCGGAGGAAGGUGGGGAUGACAUCAAAUCAUCAUGCCCCUUAUGACCUGGGCUACACACGUGCUACAAUGGACAGAACAAAGGGCAGCGAAAC